rnacentral:misc_RNA from 1 species
CCAAGUCAUAAAAAAAAAAAGAUAGUAGUCUUCUACUUCGUUGUAUGUGGUAGUACAUAACUAGUUAUACAGUUAUACUUGCACCCCUUAGAAAUAAAUACAAUUAUAACAACUAACAUCAAUAAUAAAUGAAGAAAGUGACUGAAAAGAAAGUAGCUAGAAAAGUGGCAAAGUUUUUUGCGAAUGUGUCAAAUGAUGUAUCAAACACUUUUAUAGGUAUAGGGAAUUCUUCACCGUCACGUUUUCUGUGCUUGAUUAAUGCAGGUUUAUUGAAUGGAUUUACGAGAGAAGAAAUAUUUGAUAUUUUUAUUGGUUUUGGGGAAAUUGAAAAUUUGGUAAUGAUUGAAAGAAAAUCAUAUUGCAUUCUCAGCUUUAAGAAUGAAUGUGCUGCAGCAGAAAGCUAUGAGAAGCUAAAUGGAAGUUUUUGCCUGAAAGGUGAAACAAAAGUACUGUACCUGUCCUACCUUGAAAAAUUUCCCACAAACAUGAUUGACUUGAAAGAGAGUCCAAAGGUAUGGCCAAGUGGGCUGAAAUUAAAGGAAAACUUUAUAUCUGAAGAAGAAGAAGAAAAAUUACUUGAUUUAACUGUGUCUGAUCCACAGACAUUGCAGCUCAAACAUAGAACAGUGAAGCAUUAUGGAUUUGAAUUCAAGUAUGGUAGCAAUAAAGUUGAUCGAAACCCAUUGCCUAAUGCUAUACCUGAAGAAAUGGAGCCAAUCAUAAAAAAAUUUGUGGAACUUGGCAUCACCAGACCAAAUCAAUUGACAGUUAAUCACUAUGCACCUGGGCAAGGAAUACCUCUUCAUACUGACACUCAUAGUUCUUUUGAGGAUGGAAUUAUUAGCAUCUCCCUUUGUUCUGAUAUUGUGAUGGACUUCAUGAGUAAUGAUGAUGGUCGGCGAGUAAGCAUCGUUUUACCAAGGCGGUCGUGCUUGAUUAUUAGCCAAGAAUCAAGAUACUCCUGGAGUCACGGUAUAACGCCACGGAAAUAUGAUGUAACUCAAGCUGCCGAUAACGGAUUAACUGUUAUACGACGAGAAAACCGGACGUCUUUGACUUUUCGCAAAGUCCGCACAUCCAAAUGUGAUUGCACAUUCUCCAGAUGGUGUGAUUCACAAUUAGAAGACUCUGCUGAUCUCUCAGAAAAAACCGCUGACAACAUUGAAAGAAAACAUGUUUUUCAUGUUUAUGAUGAAAUUGCUUCGCACUUCAGUGAAACCAGACAUUGGCUGUGGAAAUGGGAAAUACCUUACGUGUUCGCAGUCACUUUUCAGCAUUGGAACCGAUCGAUCAAAGCAACUACUAAAUGGUUUAGUUCUGUAGGAAACGUGGCUAUCAAGUUGUCAACGCUGAUUGUCGUGCUUCUCCUUUUCGUGAUGAUAUAGCUGACGCUGCUAUAUGUAUCGCUGUAAUUCAUCAUUUGGCUACCGAAGACCGUCGUUUGCAGACACUCCAGGACAUUAGCCGCAUUCUACGUAAGGGUGGUCGAGCUCUGGUGUAUGUCUGGGCCAAAGAGCAAGAAAUAGGAACAAGAAAAUCAACAUAUUUACUG